CUGUCAAAUCCAUGACGUCACUAGCGCAGUCGCACAGAAGCAGACAGCACUGCAGAGUGUAUCGAUUUUUAUGAUUGUAGUGUCUGUUUCGUUAGUUUUAGUGUCUUUUCAUGGGUAAUAUUGUGAAUGGGACGCUUAUUUGAGUUUUACCGUGUUAAGUGUGUGUGAAUAGCACGGCUGAAAAAUGACGAAGGACAGACUAGCGGCGCUCAAAGCGGCGCAAAGCGACGAUGAUGACAUGGGCCCGGAUGAUGUGGCUGUCACGGUUGAAAGCCGUGAUGGCUUCAUGGAUGAAUUCUUCGCUGAGGUGGAAGAAAUACGGGAAAUGAUAGACAAGAUUCAAGCAAAUGUGGAAGAAGUGAAGAAGAAACACUCUGCCAUUCUCUCUGCUCCUCAAACAGAUGAAAAGGUCAAGCAGGAGCUGGAGGAUCUUAUGGCUGACAUUAAGAAAACUGCCAACAAAGUCCGUGCCAAAUUAAAGGUGAUAGAACAAAACAUUGAACAAGAGGAACACACCAACAAGUCUUCAGCAGAUUUAAGGAUACGCAAAACACAGCACUCCACUCUUUCGCGCAAAUUUGUAGAAGUAAUGACAGAGUACAAUCGCACACAGACCGACUAUCGAGAAAGGUGUAAAGGAAGAAUACAACGACAACUUGAGAUAACUGGGCGGACUACUACCAAUGAAGAGUUAGAGGAAAUGUUGGAGCAAGGAAACUCUGCUGUUUUCACUCAAGGUAUCAUCAUGGAAACCCAGCAAGCAAAGCAAACUCUUGCUGAUAUUGAAGCUCGACAUGCAGAUAUCAUAAAACUGGAGAAUUCCAUCCGAGAGCUCCAUGACAUGUUUAUGGAUAUGGCCAUGCUCGUUGAAAGUCAGGGUGAACUGAUUGACAGAGUGGAGUACCAUGUGACCGAAACAAAGGAUUAUGUUGAAACAGCACGCGGUGAGCUUAAAGUUGCUCAGGAUUACCAGAGCAAAGCUAGAAAGGUAAGUGGUGUGUCCGGAGAAAAGCAGACAGCAAUUAGUAUCUUACAUACACUAGCGUUAGGACAUGUGCGGCGAGGUACAUUCUACAUUCAACAAGAAUUGCGCCAGCCUGCUAGGUCUACACCUAUUGGACAUGUCCUCUGAUUCUGACUCACUUUCUUCACCAGAUCUACCAUCAAAAUACAAAAAAAAAUCUUCAUCAUUGUCUGCCUCGUUGUCUCAGUUAUCAUAACAAUUAUUGUGCUAGCAGUAUUGCUGUAAAACUCAGCAUUCAAUUACAUAUUUAGCCGAAGCAGCAGUGCAGUGUGAGGAAAAGGGGAUUGUAUACAUACUUGUGUUACAAUGUUAUAAUUUGUUUUAAAUCCCAUUUUUUGACAUUUUAUUGACAGUUAAGAAGUACCCUCUGUAUACCACCCUACCAUACCUAUGGCAACAGAGCAACAUCCAUGUAUUUCACCAUCCCCUUCUCCUCUUGUUGGUUUUAAGCAAUUUUCCUUCACAAUAAUUCUGCCUGCCCACCAAAUGGUUUUCCAUUUGAUUGACAACAUUUUACAAAUUAUAUCUUUGUUUCCAUUAUUACUGUCAUUAUUCUUUAGAUGGAAGAGUUGGAUCUGAUUCAAAUAUUUUAUUAACAUAAUCAAAAAGUUUUAACUGAUGUUGUUGCAGAAUUAUCUGUGUUUGGAGAAUAUAUGUUGUCCCUGUGUUGAGUUUGUCUGAUGUCUUAUAUAAUGUUAUUUUAUUCAUGCCAUUUUCCUUCAUAAUUAUUUAUUUUAUCAAGGCUAGUGCCCUGGUUUUGUAAUUAAAGCAUCAAUAGGAGGACAAAAUGACUAUAUAUAUUUAUUAUUGACAGAUACAUCCUUGUACUUCAAAAAAGAUUUGUUAUUCCAUUCACAUUUUUAUGUAAAUUAUAUGUAGAAAUAUAACAUGAAGACAAUGUAUCAGAGCAUUGUCCAAGUUUUGUAAUCUAAUGAACGUGCAAAGUUGUGAUGAUCCAUGCACCUUCAUUCCUAGAGUGAACUUUGCUAUAGGUUUAUUUCAGAAAUAGAUAGAAAUCUAACUUUAAAAUUCAAAGUAAAAUAUCAGUUUUUACUGACAUUACUGUAUUUCCAUUUGAUUCUUGACAUCUGAAUAUGUUGAAGAACCAAUACCCGUAAUGUAAAAAGAUAUGUAUGUGUAUCUAAUUACUCAUUGAAAGUUUUACUCCUUUGUCUUGAGAUUUGGUUUUAACUAGAUGAACUCUGCCUGCUAUUAUUAUAUAAGAGAAAUUAAUCUUUUGUCCGUUUUUGGUACACAAAUCAUCCAGAGUUAAAUUUUGAAUUAGUAAUGUGCCUUCAAAUGUCUUUCAAACAGUAUGUAGUGGAGUUUUUAGAAAGCUUCAAAAAUUGCUACACUUAUGAAAUGCCCUUAUUCUCAAAAUAUCAAUAGAGUUGUACCAGAAUAGUAACCUGCUGUAAAGUAUGCCUCUUCUCUAUUUGUGUAUUACACAGAUCAUUGUGAAUGAUGAUAAUUACACCCAACAUGCUAAGCUAUGGGCUGCAACACAAAAAUUGGCAUAAAUGUGCAAGUUCAGUAGUCCAUCUCUGAGAUAUGACAUUGUUUCUGGUACAUGUGUAGUUUUUGAUAACUUCAGAGGGAAAGCAGUGAAAGUAUAUGCCAUUCCAAUAUGCUCCUAUUUUUCAUACUGUUUGAAUGGACAAGAAGUAAUACUUUGUGAUGCUGUACAUGUUUUGCCAAUUGUAGAAUCUAAAUACUAUCAUGCAUCACUUAGUACAUGCAGUAUAAUACUCCUAACAUAAAGUUGUAGUGCACUGCUGCUUCAAUUAUGGAUAGCAAGGGUGUGUGAACAAUGCACAAAAUGACAAUAUUGUUUGAAUCAAAACAUAUCCUUAACCCUAUCAUUUUAGUGUCCUUUUGUGUGGGUAAGUUUGCAUCAGUGGUUUUAAUGGACCUCUUGAUGUUCUAAUAAACUUAGCAUAUUGUAAGGGUAUUUGACUGUGUCUUUGCAUUUAGUUGCAAAAUUACCUUUUUGUUGAUUUGCCUUUGCCACCUAAUGCACUUUCUGUGUACUGUUCGCACACCCCGUAUUUUUGGACAUCUUUCCAUGCUAGUACAUCUAUGUGGCGCUGUCCUGACCUUGCUGGCUGCUCAAACGUUCCCUGUAGCGCAUCUCCUACAUUUCGUGUACUCUGAGUACGCUUGCAGCAUUCAACUACCCAGGACUCGUCUCAACAGCCAUAUUCGCAACUGUGAUUCACUCCACUCUGCCUGAAGAAAAUCAUGAUUCUGAUCUGCGUGUCUAUCCUCAUCAUUAUUCUCUGCUCCACAAUCGCUGGAUACUUAGGAUUUUAAGCCCCUCUUUAGUCUGGGUUGCAUGGCUCUGCUGACGUUUCCGCUCUUGCUGUCUUCGCCCUGCAUCACACCGCCUCAUCAGCACGCCAUGCCAUGCCAGCGCCCAGUAACACCCGGCCCGGCCCAGCCCUGCUGCCCUGCUGCCCUGCUGUGCCUUUUUAGCACAGACUUGUUAGCAAAUGUGCCAUUCUCAUCACUGUUCGAUCUUGAACUGUGAAUUCUUUACUAUUAUUGUUCCCCAGUCUUUAAUUUUCAUUAUGUUUCAUUUAAUGUAUCCCUUCAAUGUGUUUUGUAUUUAUGUGUUUUCUCAAUCUGAAAACAGUUAUGUAGGAAGCAAUUUAAAUAUUACUCUUUGUCUUAGUUUCUCAAUUUGUAUUUUGAAGACUAUGCCCUUGUUAUCUUUUUUCUUGCCAUGUUGUGAAUGAAAGUAGGUAUGUAGGGGUAUGUAGAAGAACCUUUCAAAGACUUAGGAUUGUAUGCAAGCUCGACGCUCACAGCUGAAAUGUGCCCAGGCUCUUUGCCAUCAGUAGCCAUAUUCCAUACAUCUUUUUAUACAUCUCAAUUUGCACCCCUCUAGUACCCUAUUUGUAAAUGUGCAAUUUCCGAAAAGUGUACCUAAACUUUAAGAUUUUUAGGUGGGGAAUGACCGCUAUUAUUAAAUCUCCUCAAAUAGUGAUUGCAGUUUACUGAGCUUGAUGGGUGUGCUCUAAAGCUGGUUUAUUUUUAUUGGGUCUCAUUCAAGGUGCUCUGACAACUUUGGUGUCAGUGUACGACUCUAAAUUAUUCAAAUGAAAGAACACAAUCAGCGCCAAAACUUUGUAGGUUCCACUACAGUUUCUAUUUCAUGCUAAUUCUUAUUCUUUUCCUCUGAUUUUUGUUUAUAACCUAUGCUAGGGUGACAAAGGGUUGACAGCUCUUACUCGCAACUUAAAUUUGAUAAUUUUUUCUCAUCUAGUGUAGUAUAUUGGUACUCAAUUGUUACUGCCUUUUAUUAUUUUUGUGAGCCUGAUGUAUGUACUUAUUUCGAUCAACUUCAAGUUCUGUAAAGUGCUGUUGGGUCCUUUAAUGGGGGGUAUAUUUUGCCUUUUCCUAAAUAAGACCAUCAAACUCAUAAACUGAAGUCUAUGUACAUUCUUUUGUACAGAGGUGUACAUAAUUUUGAACCGCCUUAGAUAUUUUAUUUUCUGUAGAUUUGAAUGCGCUAGUGAUGGUUAUGGUGUGAAUGACUGCGCAACUGUAUGAGUGAAGUAUUUGAAGAAAUGUGUGCAAGUGGAAGGAGUGGGUGAUGGAUGAGAGAACAUAGAAGACGUGAAGGGAAACUACCUAGCUGUGUGUAUGUGUCAACAGAUUAUUAAAAAAAAUGUAUGUGUGAACAUGAUUGUGUGUGGUUUGAGACACAAUGGUGCAUGGGAAAGAAAUGGAUAUGGGUGGUUCCUGUUUAUGCUCAGUCACUUUUGUUGAGAGAAGCACAAACCUUAGCUAGGCCAAGACUUAAAUCCUUCACGCUGGUAGAUUGCGACUGAGGUCGGGUGAUUUCACUUUAGAACUAUGAGUCUUUGACAUUUUCUCUCUCUUUAAAGAAAGCGUUCAUAUUAAGCUGAAAAGUAUGAGGUUUAUAGGACAUUUUGGUCCCUUUACUUUUGUUAUACUGUAGUGGUAGCUGGUUGUAGCCGGCCUAUGGCACCUGAUUCAUGUAAGGUAUGCAACUAAUCCUUGGGGUAUCCAUGUAGCAUGUUUCUGAUUUUGCUUGAAAUUUUUUGAGUGUUCAAGUAACUUGGAGCAGAGCUAUUCUCUUAAUCAAAACAAUUAAAAUUUUGGUUUCAAUGAGAAUCUUUUAUGUUCUUCACGGUAAGGCAUUGCUAAUUAUUUAAACUGCCCCUUUUUUGAGCUUUUGAAUUGAAGCCUACAAAAGAUAGCUACAAGUGAUAAGUUACUCAAAUGGACAGAAACUGUGUGAUGUUUUCUAGCAAUAGAUAAAACUGUGCUCCACUGCCCAGUCCUGCCCAACACAGAAUACAUUUACUAGGAAUCAAAAUUUCAAUUAAAAUAUUUCUUACCUUGUGAAAACUGUGUAUUUGUUUAGGAGUGUCAGUCUGGUGUAAUGUUUGCUGUAGCAAUAACUUUUCAGUUUAAGCUCGAGUGUUUCAUCACAGCAACCUAAUUAUGUCAUGGUGGACUUAAAAUUCUGUCAUAGUGUGAUACUUAAUGAAUUAUACAUAUAUAGUUACUUGCAUACAACUUGUACAUAAUUGGUAGGCAUUGUAAUAUAACAUUUUAUUCAUUUUUCUCACCUAUGUAUAAUUGGGGGUAAAUUGCAUGUUACUAUUUUAAUAUCUAUUCUGUUAUGGUUUUCAAUCACUGAGUUUUGAUGCAUUCCUUUUCUUUUUAUUUGUGAUUAUCUCGAAUAGUCGAUUGAUCUUUUUAUCUGUCAAUAACUGUGUCUCUUUGAAUCUAUCUGGAGCUUUAACAUUCAUCCGGACAAUAAAAGCUAACUGUCAGUAAAUGUUUGUGGAAUCAUAGCUAGUUGGUGGGAUUUUGAUUUUAAAACAUUAAUGUAAUACUGCUUCUGCAAUAUUACUCAGUUAUCGACUUGAACUUCAUUGAUUUUGUGGACUUAAAAAUAUUCUGUCCAUCAGUGUUCACUGAAAGGAUCUCAUAGACAUUUUUUGUGAGAUUUUCAAUGUCUCAUUUGUUGUGAUGGCCUAAGUUCGGUCUAUCUUGCUUGUAUAGGGCUGUCUGUCUCUGCAAGCCUCUGGGUGGUUUACAACUUUCCACCUAUUGAAAGAUUUUUAGAAAGUCUUCAGACCUGAGAGACUCUUAGAGCUGGAAUUUAUUAGCUCUCCGGGGUGCUGUGCAUCUUGGAUGCAAUUUUUGUUUCUGCUUAGGUUAUUUGUUAUGUACAAUAUUCUUUAAUGAAUGUUUAAGAAUUCAACUGUUCUUUUUCCAGUCAGGAAUGACAAUUAUUUUUUAUUUGUUAUGUAAUUUCUGUCAUUUUUUCAGAUAAAAUCUUAAGCUUCAUCGUGCACGUAGAUUCUCAUCAUCUUACGUUUCAUGUAUACAUUGGAAUCUGUUGCAUUAUUAUUAUUAGCAUGCAACCAUGAAUCUAUGGUUUUUAGACUAAUACUAUUUACCUGAAUUGUCUGUCCUUUUCACAUCAUUUGCAAAAAGAACAUUCAACUGCUUUGUAAUUAUUUGCUUUUACCAAAUGCUUCUAUUUGUUUAAGUUGUUAUCCAGCAACAAAUAUUGUUUAUAUUGUUGACUAAAUGAGUUUAUUGAUACCUUGUUGUGCUUAUGAUGCUUUGUUGAGAGUGGCCAUACUCUGUUUUAAGUGACUGUUUUAUUCAUGAUCUGGCUCAAGUUCCUUGGGCCAAUAAACAACUUACAAUUUUAAUUGAAAGAGCAUUUUGUAUGCAUCUUUGUCUAGUCUUGCAUUUGAUGACCUAGGUUGAUUUUUUUUCCCCAAUCCUUUUUUUUAAAAGCAGAUUUUCCUGGCUGUCUUAAGAUUUGGGCAUGGCUAACAAACAGCACUUGUGUAAUUUAUCUUCCCUGCAGUUCAAUUGGCAUGGGAAUGUUGCCCACUACUCCAUGAUUCAAAAAUCUGGGCAAAAAAUUGAUGUGAAUUGCUUGGAUCUUUGAUAAGAGCCAAAAUCGUGUUCAUACUUUCGGGUGGUAAACCCGGUUUUUACUAUCAAACUUGUA